GAUCCUGGCUCAGGAUGAACGCUAGCGGCAGGCUUAACACAUGCAAGUCGAGGGGUAUAUUUCUUCGGAGAUAGAGACCGGCGCACGGGUGCGUAACGCGUAUGCAAUCUACCUUUUACAGAGGGAUAGCCCAGAGAAAUUUGGAUUAAUACCUCAUAGUAUAUCACAAUCGCAUGAUUGAGUUAUUAAAGUCACAACGGUAAAAGAUGAGCAUGCGUCCCAUUAGCUAGUUGGUAAGGUAACGGCUUACCAAGGCUACGAUGGGUAGGGGUCCUGAGAGGGAGAUCCCCCACACUGGUACUGAGACACGGACCAGACUCCUACGGGAGGCAGCAGUGAGGAAUAUUGGACAAUGGGCGCAAGCCUGAUCCAGCCAUGCCGCGUGCAGGAUGACGGUCCUAUGGAUUGUAAACUGCUUUUAUACGAGAAGAAACA
rnacentral:rRNA from 2 species